AUGCUAGAAAUAAAUAUCAAAGCCUACCUAUCGGUGAUCGUCCGAUGCAACUUCGAUAACAACGAAUGGAGGCAGAGAUUCCGAGAUCUUCAGGUCCAGUCCCCCAUUCCUUUACCAGAGAGUCGUGCAACUUCAGCUCCUCUAAGACUUCCUUCCUCAACUGAGAAAGUCCAAGCUUAUCAUCAUCAUCGUCAGCAUACUCUUGCCCCACUCAUACGCUUUAGCAAAAGAACGAAGAAAAUGAACAACUUGUGCGAUGUAAUGUCGGAAGGAAUCGGUCUUGAGGUUACCGGAGGCUAA